GAUGAACGCUGGCGGCGUGCCUAAUACAUGCAAGUCGAGCGAACGGACGAGAAGCUUGCUUCUCUGAUGUUAGCGGCGGACGGGUGAGUAACACGUGGAUAACCUACCUAUAAGACUGGGAUAACUUCGGGAAACCGGAACUAAUACCGGAUGAUAUUCUGAACCGCAUGGUUCAAAAGUGAAAGACGGUCUUGCUGUCACGUAUAGAUGGAUCCGCGCUGCAUUAGCUAGUUGGUAAGGUAACGGCUUACCAAGGCAACGAUGCAUAGCCGACCUGAGAGGGUGAUCGGCCACACUGGAACUGGGACACGGUCCAGACUCCUACGGGAGGCAGCAGUAGGGAAUCUUACGCAAAGGGCGAAAGCCUGACGGAGCAACGCCGCGUGAGUGAUGACGGUCUUCGGAUCGUAAAACUCUGUUAUUAGGGAAGAACAUAUGUGUAAGUAACUGUGCACAUCUUGACGGUACCUAAUCAGAAAGCCACGGCUAACUACGUG
rnacentral:rRNA from 1 species